UUUAACGUAACAUCCUGGACUGAUAUCGCCAUGACAGUUUAGAACCUCAUCAAGUUGGUCUUGGAUCAGGUUUAAGGAGUCUCCAAUAAAGUGCUUUAUAGGCACACACUCUGCAUGCACUAAAUACGCCUUCUGGAUAUCAAUAACUGCUCUGGGUUUUCUCUGAACACAUUAACCCCUGUAAUGUAGUUUCCUAAGCACGCGACGCAGGGCUGGAGGGAAUCACAGGAGGAAAGAUGAAAAAAGGUCUCUAGCUUAAAACAGGACUCGUGUUUUGUCUUUUUAAUGGCCCCAAGGCAAAUCUGACAGCAAAUGAGUUCAAGAAAGGGCAGGUUUCCCAUCACACAAUCUGUUAUUUAUAAUAGACAAGCAAUAAACAACAGGUGCACAAACUGUGCGCUUAUUUCCAAAAACAUACUGGCUAUCCUGAUUGUGUGGCAGCAGCUGAACAGAUUUCCUAAUACGACAGAUUGCUAGCAGCAAUACAGAAUCUAGAACUACCUGGAUCCUAG